AAUCAUUAAACCCAUCCCCAAUUAACUCAAACCUAGCCUCCUUUAGUUCCCAAAUCCUCUCCAUUCUGUCCGCUGUCUGCCACCACUCGUCGCCGACUAGAAAUCACUAUCCGGCAGCGCACCACCACCAAACAGCUUCAAUAUGUCACCCCACAGUCCCCAUCUCACCCUCGUUCUUGAUCCACCCUUUAUUUUCCCAAAAUCCUACCUGAUUGCCUCGAUUAGAAGAUCUUAAAAUCAAGAUUCAAGCUUUUCGCCCCUUUUAAAAAAUCAACCACGAUUUGACCUCCUCUGUUCUCAAAUCUUACACCAAACAACAUGUCUACUGAAGACCUAUCGAUUGGGGUAAUUUGUUUACCAUUCUCCGAUCGUCGAAACUUCGUUGACAUGCGAGAUUUUUCCCAAAUCCAUCUAUCUUUCUCCAGUUCGGCCUGUAAUGAGUAUUGCUACAUGUAGCACUGGCUCGCAUGAAAAUUUGCCGGCCAGUGCUCAUGUGAUAAUUCUUGUUGCUCGUCAGUUUCUGUUCACUAUUGUACUUCAUUUCACUUACCGGAUUUUCACGUGAAUUGACCUUUAUUUGGUCGCGUUCGGUUGUUUCUACUGUUAGGUAUGUAGAUUUACAUCUGCUCCGUUUUAUUUUGAGUUGAAGAAUGAAAUUUGAGUUUGCUUAUGUUCCCUUUGUGUUUGAUUUCAUAGAUCCAGCGUGUUAGUCAUUGAAUCUACCUAAAUUUCUUUCCCGAAUUAACUUCUGAUGCCAUUAACCUGCAUGCUGAUUAAAUUUGCUUAUUGUUGACAACGAUUUACCUUCUAAAAUGAUAAUUCAUGUUUAAACAACAAUAAUUAGUUGUCCUUAAUAUGUUGUUAACUGUUUGAUUGAUGAUAUAGCCAAAUUGAAUUAUAAGGAUAGCCCAGUGGCUAUUUUCUUGUAAAUUGGGCAUUGUUUUGAAGGAAGAAGAAUCACACAACUAGAGAUAGCUCAUGUCACGGAGAUUCAAACAGUAGAAGCAUAGAAUUAGAUUUACAUUAAUGAAAUCUUAUAAUUCAUGCUAGACUAGCAAAAUAUACGAUUCAAAUUACCCGCC